rnacentral:rRNA from 1 species
AUGGAGGAGAGCAGGGCUCGCGGCGUCGACAUUUCUCUGAACAUCAACCCAGCUUUCUCCAUGGACAGCACGAGCGACGCAAGGGCAACGCCAGUCAUGAUGCCUCGGAGGUCAACUUCGGUGAAGAUCGUGCCGAUCGCGUCGGACGACGAGAAUGAGAAAUCUCCAUCGCCCGACCCGAGGAGGGCGGUCGUGCAUCUGGUUAAGAAGGCAAUGGCCGAGUUCUUGGGAACGUUCCUGCUCGUCUUCAUCGUGCUGUCGGCGGCCAUCAUGAACGAGAUUCACGGCGGCGCGCUGGGCCUGCUGGGCGUGGCGGCGACGGCGGGCGCGGCCGGGGUCGUGAUCGUGGCGUCGCUCUUCCACGUCUCGGGGAGCCACCUGAACCCGUCAGUGAGCGUGGCCAUGGCCGUGUUCGGGUACCUCCCGUGGGCGCACCUCACGCCCUACGUGUCCGCUCAGUUCCUGGGCGCCGUCUCCGCGUCGUUCGUGGCCAAGGCGAUCUACCACCCGGCGGCGAACCUCAGCGCCGUCGUCACCACCGUGCCGUCCAUAGGCACGUUGGAGGCCUUCUCCAUCGAGUUCAUCAUCACGUUCAUCCUCCUCUUCGCCAUCAUCGCCGUCGCCACCGAUCCGAAAGCAGUCAAGGAGCUGGUAGCAGUGGCAGCUGGGGCAGCACUGAUGACGAACGUUCUCAUCGCCGCGGAAUCGACAGGAGCAUCAAUGAAUCCGGCGAGGACACUGGGAACGGCCAUCGCGACGGGGACGUACACGAAGAUCUGGGUUUACAUGGUUGCACCACCGCUGGGCGCCAUCGCCGGGACCGGAGCUUAUGUUGCACUUAAGCACUGA